ACUUCCGGCGGGGCCUCCCAGCUGGAAGAGGCGGUGGCGGCGGGUCGGGGCGAGGAUCAGGAGGGGAGAAGAAGGAGCCUCUGCUGCCUCCCAGGCUGCUGGGACUGGGCUGGUUUUGUCCUUGAAGUGGUCAGGAUACAGGACAAGGGCAGCCCCACCCCAUCCAGCCUGGGCUCCCCGCAGACCCUUGCUGCUCCCGUGGCCUGGACACGCUGGGGAGCUUCUCACACCUACCCCUACCGUCCAGCCUGGCCUCUUCCCUGAAUCAGCUUCAAGAUGGCACCAGCUCUUUGGGCCUAGGAUACUGCCGGGCCCCCCAAGGGGGUCCCCAGCAACCAGGCCUGGCCUCCUGGUGUCUGCGGUCACAGUGGCCCCUGGGCAGGGGCACCCAGGCUGACCCUGAGGUGCUGCUGCUGGGUCUGUCUUGGCUCUGGGGUGUGCUGGGAGGGUCACCAGGUCCCUUUUCCUUCCUGUGCCCUCUGAAAGCUAAGUGUCUGUGUGGCUGUGGAGCUCGAGGGUCUGUGAAUAAAGGCGGCGGCACUGGG
rnacentral:lncRNA from 1 species